GACGAACGCUGGCGGCGUGCUUAACACAUGCAAGUCGAACGAGAAUCUGUGGAAAGAGGAUUCGUCCAAUUGAAGCAGAGGACAGUGGCGGACGGGUGAGUAACGCGUGAGGAACCUGCCUUUCAGAGGGGGACAACAGUUGGAAACAACUGCUAAUACCGCAUAACAUAUAGAUGUCGCAUGGCAUUUAUAUCAAAGAUUUAUCGCUGAAAGAUGGCCUCGCGUCUGAUUAGCUAGUUGGUGAGGUAACGGCCCACCAAGGCGACGAUCAGUAGCCGGACUGAGAGGUUGAACGGCCACAUUGGGACUGAGAUACGGCCCAGACUCCUACGGGAGGCAGCAGUGGGGAAUAUUGGGCAAUGGGCGCAAGCCUGACCCAGCAACGCCGCGUGAAGGAAGAAGGCUUUCGGGUUGUAAACUUCUUUUGUCAGGGACGAGUAGA
rnacentral:rRNA from 1 species